UUCCACACCUCUAAACAACUGCCUCUUUGACACGAGCAACACAUAGAAACUGCAUACGACAUAUGAUAUAAAUUAUCUCUGCUCCGUGGGAACGCCUGUUACUAUCGCUUGGUAGGGGAUCUUCUCUGCCCUCUUAAUUAUGCUACAUCUACAUUCGGUCGAGCUUGGAUUUAUCUGUAGAUUGCAAAAAUGCCAUUAAAAAAUCUGCGAUAUCGUGAGGCUUGAACACAUGAAGCACAAAAUAGCAAGGGUCGCGAUGUGCCCCGCUUUAGGAGUUCUGAGUUUGAGGCCUUCAUUGCAUGUGGCAUCUUGAUGUAAUUCCAUACACGUGUCAAGGUUGUUGCUGUGGGACUCGGGGCGGUGAGGGAGAGCAGUUGGACAUGAAGCAUGUCACAAAUCAAAUUUGGAGAAGUGAAUUACUGUGCCCAAGACGUGACUAACGGUAGCGCCCAUCUCCGGAUCAGAUUGGUCAAGCGUUUUCGCAGCUGCAACAUCUUUAUAUUCUGGGUCGAUGUAUCGCAAUGAUAGGAAGAACAAAUACUUUGAUCCUGUGCUAUUUUUUUGUAUUUUGUCUUUCACUGAAAGCUUUUUGCUUUUACUUCCUGCAUUUGAAAGCAGAUGUGGACCUUGUACUCCUUACUUUGGGUGGGGGUCUCCGUAAGGUUGAUAACUUGACUGAUAUCUCGUGGAGCCUAUAAAGCUGAAUAAACAGACAGCUAGCAAUAAGAUUAAUAUGCGGCGAAUGCUAGCUUUUGCGCCGGGAUAAAAGACACCAGAUUGAAGCGUGACAAAAUGAUCUGUCCAAUCUGAAAACAAAAUAAAAGGGAGGUGUGUUUUUUUUUCAGUCCUCAGUAAGCAUCAAUAAACCUUAGCAAAGCCAUGGGAGCUCAUUGUUUUGAUCGUUCAUAAGUCAAGUCGAUGAAAGCUAGCUCUUGGUUUCAAAGAAAAUAACAGCACGUGACAUGCAACAUAUGAGCAGCCACGGGUGCAACAUUUUUAUUUAUUUUUUGAUAUUCAAACAACAUGUUUGGCUGACACAUUGGACAG